rnacentral:tRNA from 1 species
GCCCGGAUGGCGGAAUUGGCAGACGCGCUAGGUUCAGGUCCUAGUGUUCGCAAGGACAUAGGGGUUCAAGUCCCCUUUCGGGCA